GUUCCGGUGGCCUAGUGGUUAGGACAUCCGCCUUGGAUGCAGGAGGUCGUUGGUUCGAUCCCCUGCCCAGUCAUAACA